rnacentral:rRNA from 1 species
UACGUAGGGUGCAAGCGUUGUCCGGAAUUAUUGGGCGUAAAGAGCUCGUAGGCGGUCUGUUGCGUCGGCUGUGAAAACCCGGGGCUCAACCCCGGGCCUGCAGCCGAUACGGGCAGACUAGAGUUCGGCAGGGGAGACUGGAAUUCCUGGUGUAGCGGUGAAAUGCGCAGAUAUCAGGAGGAACACCGGUGGCGAAGGCGGGUCUCUGGGCCGAUACUGACGCUGAGGAGCGAAAGCGUGGGGAGCGAACGGG